CGGAAAAUGGAUGGAUGGAUGGAAUGAUGACUGAUUCAUAUUUUGUGUGCAAGCUAACAUUGCCUUGGGAAGAGAUAUUCAAAUUGUGUUCCUACAGCUUUUUUUUUAAAUAUAAACAUACACCCAAUUUGGCACAAAUGAUAACCCAGUGUUGCAGACCGAAAAUGUGAAUGGAAAAAAACCCCAUUAUGGUUUGAUCAUGUCCUUCGAGAGGAAUCGCUCAAACAAUGAAUUAUGCACUAAUCGAACCAAUCCAGAGAAGGCAGCCUCCGCUUUCAAGAGAGGAUGACAACGUAGAGAGAAAGUUGCCAUCACCUUCAGGAAAGGCGGCCUUGACAGGAGACAAUCAAUACAAGACUAAUGGUGCAGGAGCAGGGCCCCGGGAUGCCUCCCACUAUCUCUUUUCUUGUUGUUUUUGACAAACGAGCCCCGCUUUGUGAAGCAAGACAAUGAAAACAAACACUCCUCAGUCAGUGUUGCGCAGCAACUCUGGAGGGGAAGCGACAGCGUCCUGAACGAGCUGAGACAAAAAGUGAUGAAGCAAAGAUAAAUGCGAUCACACCUGGAAGGAGGCAGCGCGCGCAGAUCAAGAAAACGUCGCUCAGGAAGUGGUGCGUGAGCUGUUCUGAAAUCGUGCGGGGUUGCAGGUGAGCUGGAACUGAUCCGAGUUGAGAGACGCGGUACAGCCUGGACUCAGCGACAGCCAAUCGAGAGGCACAUAUGGACAAACAAAGCAUUGACAUUCACGAAUGUGCAUGUUUUUUUUGGAAUGUGGGAGUACAGAUCAAAUAAAUCAAAACAUCUCCCAGGCAUCUGAUGGCUUGAGCAUCAUUUUCGCUGAUGACAAAAACAUUCUGAAGUAGGGAGAUGAACGUGAGGGCAGAAUAUUGUUCUCCGGGUUGUCAGCGGGACAACAGAGUCCUGCAUUUAUUCAUUUCCCGUCUUCUAAUCGCUUCGAAAACAGUCGCCCGCACACCCUCUUGUCUCAUUUGUCUCCUUGUCUGUUGUGGCUCUGCACAUUUCCCCAUUCAUGUUUUCGGCAAACAUCUAUUCUUAAAGAAUCCAUAACACAUCCAAAC